rnacentral:rRNA from 1 species
CACGUAGGGGGCAAGCGUUGUCCGGAUUUACUGGGCGUAAAGCGCGCGUAGGCGGCUGGUUAGGUUCCAUCGUGAAAGGCAGGGCUCAACCCCUGGACUGCGAGGAAAACCGGCCGGCUGGAGAGAGGCAGAGGAAGGUGGAAUGGCUGGUGGAGCGGUGAAAUGCGUAGAUAUCGUAAGGAAGACCAGUGGCGAAGGCGGGUCUCUGGACAGUUCCUGACGCUGAGGCACGAAGGCCAGGGGAGCAAACGGG